rnacentral:ncRNA from 1 species
UAAAUUGAAUACCGGAUGAGUGAUUCUUUCCUGAGGGAAGGAAUUGAAAAGGGAAGUCAGUUGAAGCUGACGCGGUACCCGCCACUGUAGAAGAGAGUUGACUCACAAAGUGUCACUGGGGUUUAACCCGGGAAGACGUGGGUUGACGAUGAUCUUGAGCCAGGAGACCUGCUCAUUCAGGAGUUACUGCG